GCUGGCGGCGUGCCUAACACAUGCAAGUCAACUUGACUGAAGGAGCAAUCUGACAGUAGAGUGGCGCAAGGGUGCGUAACGCGUAAGUAACUUGCCCAAGGUAAGGAAUAACGUCGAGAAAUCGGCGCUAAUACCUCAUAAUGCAGCGGAUCCGCAUGGAUAUGUUGUUAAAGGUUUACCGCCUUGGGAUAGGCUUGCGUCUGAUUAGCUAGUUGGUGUGGUAACGGCACACCAAGGCUACGAUCAGUAACUGGGUCUGAGAGGAUGAUCAGUCACACUGGAACUGAGACACGGUCCAGACUCCUACGGGAGGCAGCAGUGAGGAAUAUUGGGCAAUGCUCGAAAGAGUGACCCAGCAACGCCGCGUGGAGGAUGAAGGUAUUCUAUAUCGUAAACUCCUGUGAGAGCAGACGAAAGACAGAUUAUUAAUCUGGAUGACUGUAUGCUCAGAGGAAGCCCCGGCUAACUACGUG
rnacentral:rRNA from 1 species